UAGCUUGCUAGAUUGAUGGCGAGUGGCGAACGGGUGAGUAAUACAUCGGAACGUGCCCUGUAGUGGGGGAUAACUAGUCGAAAGAUUAGCUAAUACCGCAUACGACCUGAGGGUGAAAGUGGGGGACCGCAAGGCCUCAUGCUAUAGGAGCGGCCGAUGUCUGAUUAGCUAGUUGGUGAGGUAAAGGCUCACCAAGGCGACGAUCAGUAGCUGGUCUGAGAGGACGAUCAGCCACACUGGGACUGAGACACGGCCCAGACUCCUACGGGAGGCAGCAGUGGGGAAUUUUGGACAAUGGGCGAAAGCCUGAUCCAGCAAUGCCGCGUGUGUGAAGAAGGCCUUCGGGUUGUAAAGCACUUUUGUCCGGAAAGAAAUGGCUCUGGUUAAUACCUGGGGUCGAUGACGGUACCGGAAGAAUAAGGACCGGCUAACUACGUGCCAGCAGCCGCGGUAAUACGUAGGGUCCAAGCGUUAAUCGGAAUUACUGGGCGUAAAGCGUGCGCAGGCGGUUGUGCAAGACCGAUGUGAAAUCCCCGAGCUUAACUUGGGAAUUGCAUUGGUGACUGCACGGCUAGAGUGUGUCAGAGGGGGGUAGAAUUCCACGUGUAGCAGUGAAAUGCGUAGAGAUGUGGAGGAAUACCGAUGGCGAAGGCAGCCCCCUGGGAUAACACUGACGCUCAUGCACGAAAGCGUGGGGAGCAAACAGGAUUAGAUACCCUGGUAGUCCACGCCCUAAACGAUGUCAACUAGUUGUUGGGGAUUCAUUUCCUUAGUAACGUAGCUAACGCGUGAAGUUGACCGCCUGGGGAGUACGGUCGCAAGAUUAAAACUCAAAGGAAUUGACGGGGACCCGCACAAGCGGUGGAUGAUGUGGAUUAAUUCGAUGCAACGCGAAAAACCUUACCUACCCUUGACAUGCCGCUAACGAAGCAGAGAUGCAUUAGGUGCUCGAAAGAGAAAGUGGACACAGGUGCUGCAUGGCUGUCGUCAGCUCGUGUCGUGAGAUGCUGGGUUAAGUCCCGCAACGAGCGCAACCCUUGUCUCUAGUUGCUACGAAAGGGCACUCUAGAGAGACUGCCGGUGACAAACCGGAGGAAGGUGGGGAUGACGUCAAGUCCUCAUGGCCCUUAUGGGUAGGGCUUCACACGUCAUACAAUGGUGCAUACAGAGGGUUGCCAAGCCGCGAGGUGGAGCUAAUCCCAGAAAAUGCAUCGUAGUCCGGAUCGUAGUCUGCAACUCGACUACGGA
rnacentral:rRNA from 1 species